UAGCUCAGUAGGUAGAGUGCUUGCCUUGCAUGCACAAGGCCCUGGGUUCAAUCCCCAG
rnacentral:tRNA from 1 species